GAUGAAGAACGUAGCGAAAUGCGAUACGUAAUGUGAAUUGCAGAAUUCAGUGAAUCAUCGAGUCUUUGAACGCACAUUGCGCCCCCUGGUAUUCCGGGGGGCAUGCCUGUCCGAGCGUCAUUGCUGCCCUCAAGCACGGCUUGUGUGUUGGGCCUCCGUCCUCCUCCCGGGGGAUGGGCCCGAAAGGCAGCGGCGGCACCGCGUCCGGUCCUCGAGCGUAUGGGGCUUCGUCACCCGCUCUUGUAGGCCCGGCCGGCGCUUGCCGACACAUCAAUCUUUUUUCCAGGUUGACCUCGGAUCAGGUAGAGAUACCCGCUGAACUUAAUCAUAUCAAUAAGCGCAGGA
rnacentral:misc_RNA from 1 species